AUUGAACGCUGGCGGCAUGCCUAACACAUGCAAGUCGAACGGCAGCGCGGGGGCAACCCUGGCGGCGAGUGGCGGACGGGUGAGGAAUGCAUCGGAAUCUGCCUGGUUGUGGGGGAUAACGUAGGGAAACUUACGCUAAUACCGCAUACGACCUACGGGUGAAAGUGGGGGACCGCAAGGCCUCACGCGAUCAGAGGAGCCGAUGUCGGAUUAGCUAGUUGCGGGGUAAAGGCCCACCAAGGCGACGAUCCGUAGCUGGUCUGAGAGGAUGAUCAGCCACACUGGAACUGAGACACGGUCCAGACUCCUACGGAGGCAGCAGUGGGGGAAUAUUGGACAAUGGGCGCAAGCCUGAUCCAGCAAUGCCGCGUGUGUGAAGAAGGCCUUC
rnacentral:rRNA from 1 species